UACGGGGGGGGCAAGCGUUGUUCGGAAUUACUGGGCGUAAAGGGCGCGUAGGCGGCUCGCUAAGUCGGGUGUGAAAACUCUGGGCUCAACCCAGAGCCUGCAUUCGAAACUGACGAGCUAGAGUUCUGGAGGGGAAAGCGGAAUUCCUGGUGUAGCAGUGAAAUGCGUAGAUAUCAGGAGGAACACCGGUGGCGAAGGCGGCUUUCUGGACAGAAACUGACGCUGAUGCGCGAAAGCUAGGGGAGCAAACAGG
rnacentral:rRNA from 1 species